AGCUCAACUGAUGACACAUCUCGAGAGGGAACUAAACGUAGAAGACGACGGACUCCGUCUUCAAGAAAUGCUAGGAAAACUGAGGUAGUUUCGACUUCUUGACGAGGGGAAUUUGAUGUGCUAUGAGGCCUAUAACACUAUAACACCAGGAGAUGUCCUGGUUGUAAGGCACGUUGUCACACGCUCGUCUCCCCACUCGCGCACUCCAUUUUUGCUGUACUAAACCUCUUGCUAUUGCGCCUCGUCGACCUUUGAAUUCGACGUGCACCGGACUUGAAGGAAAGCGGGAUCUCCGAAACUACUAUCGCGCGACACUUGCACGGGGUGGCAAUCAGGUUUUUUGGCAGCGUCUACACGCGACCGCUUAGUGAUUCUGCAACAUCUGCUUCAACACGUUUGACUUUGUUCUACGUGGGAUCAUUGAUGACGGCAAAUGCAUUUGAUGCCAUUAAGAACUUCCGCAGAUGGCAGACAAGGGCCAAGUUUUGGCUCAUGUCAUUGGGGCUAUGGUGGGUGAUAUACUCUGUGUUUCCCUUCACAGAAGAGCAAACUAUGCAGUUUGAGAAUGCAAAUAACACCGCAUUGGGUUGCAUCCAAACCAUCUUGGCGGACUAACUCUAUGAUGUGUAUAUGAAUUACACAUCGACCACUGUGCUGUGGGAGGCUUUGGAGCAAAAGUAUGCAGAAGCCGAAGCCGAAGCCAGUCGCUGGCUGUAUGUGUGUGGAAAGUUCUUUGAUUUCAGCAUGGAUAGUGCUAAAUCAAUUGUAACUCAAGCACACGACCUCCAGUUUCUAGUUGGUGAGAUUGCACAUUUGGGAUGUGCUCUACGUCCAAAGUUUGUUGCAGUAGCGAUUGUUGCUAAACUUCCUACAGAGUGGCGUGAUUUUGCUACAUCUCUGAAGCACAAAAGAGAAGAUAUUUCUAUAGAAGAUCUCAUUGCAGCUCUUAAUGUGGAAGAGAAGGCAAGGGUAAAAAAUGUGCAGGUGAAGAACGUGCAUAACAGUGUCAAUUUUGUUCAAAAGAAGAAACAAUUUAAUAAGAAGAAAGGGUCCCAAGGCUAAUAAGAUUACUAGCUUUAAAGAGAAGAAAACAGAGAAGAAGGAUUUGAAGGACAUCACCUAUUACGUGUGCGGUAAUCCUGGUCACAUUGCCAAGGAUUGUCAUGACCGCAAGGAUAAGACCACUGAACUGAGCAAAAAGUUAACUCAUGUGACCAUUGGCAAGGCCUCGAUUUCAGGAGGGCAGCAGGGGCUUCCAGCGUCCUAAUGGGAAACGGAACGCGUUCUUCUGUUCUUGGUGUUCGUACGGUAGAUCUGAAGCUUACUUCAAGGAAAACCAUCUAAUUGAAGAAUGUCCAGCAUGCGCCUGCGAUAAACAAGAACUUGUUGAGUGGGUCUCUCCUAUGUAGGAGUGGUUAUAAGCUAGUAUUCAAGUUGAAUAAAGUUGUAGUGUCUAAAUUUGGGGUGUUUAUAGGAAAAGGCUAUGACAGCGGAGGCUUGUUCCGCCUAAGUACUAUGGAUUCUUUUUAUAGUUUGAAUUUUACUACUGGUUUGAAUAAAAAUUCUGCUGAUGUAUGGCAUUCGA